ACGAAUCAAACCGACCGUCGAAUUGCACCAAAACGCACCAUUUGAAACUGAACCACACGAACUUUCGAUCCGGUUCUUCUCAACAUAAACAGUUCGAAUAGUUGUCUGGUGGCUCCAAUCCGAUUAACUUCAGUUAACCAAACCGAACCGUUUCAGUAAAAUUUUAAAAAAUUUACCCCAACCCUACCCCUCCCUUACAUGACGGCAUUUCAACUUUAGCUCACCCCCUCACAGUCUUUCUUCGGUUUCGAACCCUGUGAGACAGACGCAAUAGAGAAUCAGAGGAGCAAAGCAAGCCCUAGCUGCUACUCCUCAGUGCUCUGAACCUUGUCAACGCCGAUGGCGAGUCCCACCGUCCCUCCGACCCCCACCCCGACGACGACCCCUUCUGUUCUUUUUCUUCUUCAAAGGGGACAUGGAGAAGUUGAAGGUCGACCAGAUCGUUGACACGACAUCCCGGGAGGCCAAUUUCUGGCCCGAGAGGUGGAUCAUUGUCUCGGUCUUGAGCUCGCUGUCAGAUACGCUCUGGAGCCUCAUCAGGAUCGAGGGCUGGCAGGCCUCGCCGUAAGUAACUCGAAAACCCCCUCCAAUUGGAGACUCUAAGGUGCGAUUUUUCUGUCCUUAGAGCAGCAUGCAAGUUUAGGGUUCCGUGUCAUAGAUUACUUAAGAUGCAAGAGAUGUCGAGAUGAUGGAGAAGUUGAAGAUCGAGCAAUCGUUGGCUUCUACUGAGGCAGGAGGAUGAGGAAGGGAGUGAGAACUGGAAGAAAGCGCCACUGGGCUUAUAUUUAGCGGGGCUGAAAGCAAAAAGAAGAAAUAUUUUUGUAAAAGCCAUUAACCGAAUCUUAAGAACCGGCUCUAUUGGACCCGGUUCGAAGGCCUUCAAGUAGUUUGGUUCGGACCAGUACUCCCAUAACCGAACCGAACUAAUUUUUUGAAUACCAUGCAACUAAUUCAGUCGAGCUGGAUUGGUUUGUUAAGUGAGAAAGCUCUCAUAGUGUGGAUCAUUUUCAUCCUCGAACUCGGGAGCUUACUUAAAGAAUAAGCGUCAAACCAUUUGAAUCAAUCCGAUAAAUUAAUUAUUUAUUUACUCUUCUCUUAACUCAAAAAAAUUAAGAAGGAAAUUGAAACCCCUCAGGUAGAGCACGAGUUUAAUUAAAAUAAAUCACCAUCUUGUUGUUAAGAAGCAAAUUUAUCUUCGAAUAUGGACAUUUACUCUAAUUAAGGAAAAUCCUGCGGUAUAACACUCCAUGUGUGUUGCAUCAUACAACACUUUAUUUUAUGGUUCUUUAGCUUUUUAAAAUUAGAUUUUAGCCCCAUAACGUUUUGUCAGUUUAUGAUUUCAUUCCAAAUUUGGUUUAAUAACAUGGACCAGUUAUAUAUGAUGCCAUGUGCAUUGUCCAACCCAACGACUUUUACUCGUCGUUUACUAAAACAAAGAGCCGGAUGAAUUAUAUGUUUAUACUCCAACCCGCAGCUCGAACCACAGUCACAGGAAUAGGCGCUAACGCCAACUGGCACAGCAGCCACUAGCUGCACGACGGUAUCUGACCGAGGUUCAAUCAUCUUCCAUCAUUGGCCAAUUGAUAUGGAGUGAAAUUAUCAUCAUAUCCUGAUGAACUCAGUCGCAAAGUCGCCACGCAACGGCAACCUCCGCCGGAGCUCUGUUGUCCACGUUACCUAAGACAUAGCGGCAUCCACAUUGUAAUUAAAGGAAUACCAUGACGACAAAAGUAAAUCUUUUGAAUAGGAGAAUUGUUGGAAUUGAAUCUAAUCAUAUAUGUAUGCUAAUAUCUGAACAAUUUAGGUCGACUGCUUUAUUACUUUUAUAUGUGGUUAAUUAAUCUUUUAUGCCCUAAAGUGUCUGCACCGACAGUGGAAUGCAAAUGUUUUGACAUGAGACUCUUUAAGUAGCAGAAACCCAAGUUGAAGUAACGUCUAGUGAGACGUUGGAAGCUCAAAUAAUUGAAUA